rnacentral:rRNA from 1 species
CGCUUUAGGGUUUUAUUUAAAGUUAUUUCUGCCCAGUGACUUAUUUAACGGCCGCAGUACCCUGACUGUGCUAAGGUAGCAUAAUAAAUUGACUUUUAAUUGAAGCCUAGUAUAAACGAAAUGAAGGGGAAUGUCUUUUUAGGGGGUGUUUCUAAUAACUUACUUAGAGGGUGAAAAUUCCUUCAAGACAGAAAAAGGACGAGAAGACCCUAAGAAUUUUAAUUAAAUACUAAUUGUUUUUUAAUUUUUGUUGGGGUGACAGGUUUACAUGUGAACUAAUUUGAUAUUAUAAGACCAUUUUGUGUUAGAAAAAAUUACCUUAGGGAUAACAGCAUAAUUUUAGUUUAAGAUUAUGACCUCGAUGUUGGACUAGGGCCUUGAUACCAGCAGUUAGUAAAGCGUGUUCUGUUCGAACAAUAAUUCCCU